UUAGUAGAGACGGGGUUUUACCAUAUUGGCCAGGCUGGUCUCAAACUCCUGACCUCAUGAUCCACCUGCCUCGGCCUCCCAAAGUGCUGUUUUUUUUUUUUAAUUUUUAAGGGUAAAUAGUAGGUGUAUAUAUUUAUGGGGUACAUGAGAUAUUUUGAUACAGGUAUACAAUGCAUAAUAAGCACCUCAGGGUAAAUGAGAUAUCCAUUGCCUUAAGCAUUUAUCCUUUGUGUUACAAACACUCUAAUUAUACUCUUUUAGUUAUUUUUAUUAAAAAAAUUUUUAUAGCCAGGAUAACAGAAUCUCAUUUUUUUUUUUAUGGCUGAAAAGCACUCCAUUGUGUGUAUGUGCCACAUUUUCUUCAUUAUCUGUUGAUGGACACUUAGGUUGCUUCCAAAUCUUGGCUACUGAGAAUAGUGCUGC
rnacentral:lncRNA from 1 species